GUGCCACAAAAAUAGACAAGCAGGGCAUGUGCGCUGAAGCUGGAAGAGGCUUCUUCCAUAUUUUCAUUGCAAAAUCAGAACUUUGUUGGUAUUUGAGAUGUUAAGAAUGGAAACGCUGAUUCCCCUCAGACCCGCUUUGCAGAUAACCCUGCAUUUUACCGAGAUGUCAAAGCAGGAAGUGCUUGGCUGGAACAUCUGCCGACAGCCUCAUCUCUUUCUGCAAGAUCAUGAUGUUCUGCAUGCUCCUGUGGCCUCUUAUUUCACGUUGCUCUCCCUGCAAAUUUUGAAACAACUUUAAAGAUGAAUAAAAAGCAGCUCAGCAAGUGAAUCCCAGAUCCCGGUAAGAGAGUGUCUCCCCCAACUCACAUAGUGAGUGCACAUCAUCCCCAGAACCACCAUGAGAGUGAGCCUGGUAGCGGGUAGCACCCUGCCUGUGACGAAGCCAGCACACUAUGACGAGCAGCAGCUUCUAGACCCAUGGACCACGGGCACUGCCAACGCUCUCCCUCCGGGGACUCCUCCUGCCUCCCAUACAGGGCCAAACUCCGACGCCCACGAGCUCGCUCAGAAUUGGCUCAGGCUGCAAUCACUUCUCUUCUCCUACCUCCACACCAUUCCCUGAUGGUGGACAGCUUCUCCUUUGAGAACCACACCUGCCUUUUCAGACAAAAGGAGACACCACCCACCCUCCUGCUGAGGGCUGCUCCCCUGGGGCCUUCUCAGCACACCUCUCUCUCUCUAGGUCAAAAAACAAAUUUCACAUGCUGAAUUUUUACCUUUUUUAAAGUGACUCCGAAUUUUGGCACCAGCAAUUAAUUCAACACUUGAAUAAGAUUUGAAAACCUC
rnacentral:lncRNA from 1 species